UGGGGUAUCGCCAAGCGGUAAGGCACCAGGUUUUGAUCCUGGGAUGCCCUGGUUCGAAUCCAGGUACCCCAGCCA
rnacentral:tRNA from 1 species